UGCGUAGGCGGGCUAAUAAGUCAGUGGUGAAAUCUCUCGGCUCAACCGGGAAACUGCCAUUGAUACUGUUAGUCUUGAGUUCGGUUGAGGUAGGCGGAAUGUGUAAUGUAGCGGUGAAAUGCUUAGAUAUUACACAGAACACCAAUUGCGUAGGCAGCUUACUAGACCGACACUGACGCUGAGGCACGAAGGCGUGGGGAGCGAACAGGAUUAGAUACCCUGGUAGUCC
rnacentral:rRNA from 1 species